rnacentral:ncRNA from 1 species
AUAAAAUAAUUAUGUUUUUGAUAAUUUAUUAUAAAUUUAUUUUACAUAUAAAUUUUAGUAUAUAAUUUUAAUUAUUUAAAUAAUAAUUAAUUUAAUUUAUUUAUAGUAAUUAAUAUUAAAAAUUUAAGAAAUUAAGAUUUAGUAAUAUAAAAAUUAAUAACUAAUUUUGUGCCAGCAGUUGCGGUUAAACAAAAGUUAAAUUAAAUUAUUUCAGUUUAUAAUAAAUAAAAUAAUUAUUAAAAUAAAUAUUAAAUUAUUAAGUGAAAUUUUAAUUUAAUUAAAUUUUAUAAUUAAAUUAUGAUUUAAUAAAUUUUAAUAUAAACUAGGAUUAGAUACCCUAUUAUUAAAAAUUUAAUUUAUAAUGCUAAAAUAGUAUAUAAUAAUUUAUUGAAACUUAAAUAAUAUGGCGGUAUUUUAGUUCAUUUAGAGGAAUCUGUCUAAUAAUUGAUAAUCCACGAAUAAAUUUACUUAAUUUAUAAUUUUGUAUAUCAUUGUUAAAAAAAUAUUUUUUAGUAAAAAUAAUAUUUAAAAUUUAAAAUUUUAAGUUAAAUCAGAUCAAGAUGCAGAAUAUAAUUAAGAAUAUGAUGGAUUACAUUAAAAAUAUUUAAAUGAAUAAUUUAUUGUAAAAUAAAUUUGAAGGUGGAUUUAAAUGUAAUUUUAAUUAAUUUAUUAAAAUGAUUAUAAAUUAAAAUAUGUACAUAUUGCCCGUCACUUUCAUUUAAAAGUUGAAAUAAGUCGUAACAAAGUAGAGGUACUGGAAAGUGUUUCUAGAAAGA